GUAGGUGAACCUGCGGAAGGAUCAUUAUCGUGGGGCUUCGGCCCUAUCGAGAUAGAACCCUUGCCUUUUGAGUACCGUCCGUUUCCUCGGUAGGCUCGCCUGCCGAUGGACCAAAACAAACCCUUUGUAAUACCUUGUAAUAGUCUGAGAAAACAAACAAUAAAUCAAAACUUUCAACAACGGAUCUCUUGGUUCUG
rnacentral:misc_RNA from 1 species